rnacentral:hammerhead_ribozyme from 1 species
AUCCUUCUGACGAGUCCCAAAUAGGGCGAAAUGCGCAUCUUAAAU